UACGAAGGGGGCUAGCGUUGUUCGGAAUCACUGGGCGUAAAGCGCACGUAGGCGGAUCUUUAAGUCAGGGGUGAAAUCCCGAGGCUCAACCUCGGAACUGCCUUUGAUACUGCAAAUCUCGAGUCCGGAAGAGGUGAGUGGAAUUCCUAGUGUAGAGGUGAAAUUCGUAGAUAUUAGGAAGAACACCCGUGGCGAAGGCGGCUUUCUGGGACGGUACUGACGCUGAGACGCGAAAGCGUGGGGAGCGAACAGG
rnacentral:rRNA from 1 species